UGGGGCAAUAUUGGACAAUGGGCGAAAGCCUGAUCCAGCAAUGCCGCGUGAGUGAUGAAGGCCUUAGGGUUGUAAAGCUCUUUUACCCGGGAAGAUAAUGACUGUACCGGGAGAAUAAGCCCCGGCUAACUCCGUG
rnacentral:rRNA from 1 species